ACAUGAAACAACAAGACAGGAAGUGAGGCUUGAAUAGCCUAACGUUUACCCUCAGGUGGCAGAAAUGGAGAUAAUCACAAGAUUGAUAGCUGCCUACAAGAUGAGGGUGAGAUUAUUGAGUGUGGCAUGAAAAGUACGGGUCAGAAGAUUCUUCUUUUUAAGGUCAGGGGUCGGUGUCUCCAAUUCCCUACCAUUGCUCCAAGGGUCUGUCUUCUGAGCGGUUAUACACUCGAUCAUGAGAGCGCACCAGCAAAUCUAUAGCAGAAUGGCUGAAAAGAAAAGAAUCAAGGUGUUGCAAAGGCCCAAUCAAAGUCCAGACCUCAACCCGAUUUGAAUUGCUGUCGCAGGACCUUAAGAGAGCUGUGCAUAAACAAAUGCUGCAAACCGUAAUGAACUGAAGCAACGUUGUAAAGAAGAGUGGGCCAAAAUUCCUCCACAACGAUGUGAGAGACUAAUAAAGUCAUACAGAAAACGAUUACUUCAAGUUAUUGCUGCUAAAGGUGGUUCUACAAGCUAUUGAAUCAUAAAGUGUACUUGAUAUUUCACAGAUGGCGUCUCCAUUUUGGCUUUAUUUUUGUUAAAUAAAUCAUGACACAGUGUAAUAUGUCAUGUGUUGCUCAUCUGAGGUUGUAUUUACCUAAUUAGUUUUUUUUAAACUCUUUUUUUAAGGAAUAUACAGAUACAUCAUAUAAUCAAUAAAUACACAUUUUGCAUA